GACGAACGCUGGCGGCGUGCUUAACACAUGCAAGUCGAACGGAAAGGCCCUGCUUUUGUGGGGUGCUCGAGUGGCGAACGGGUGAGUAACACGUGAGUAACCUGCCCUUGACUUUGGGAUAACUUCAGGAAACUGGGGCUAAUACCGGAUAGGAGCUCCUGCUGCAUGGUGGGGGUUGGAAAGUUUCGGCGGUUGGGGAUGGACUCGCGGCUUAUCCGCUUGUUGGUGGGGUAGUGGCUUACCAAGGCUUUGACGGGUAGCCGGCCUGAGAGGGUGACCGGCCACAUUGGGACUGCGAGACGGCGCAGUCUGCUACGGGAGGCAGCAGUGGGGAGUAUUGCACAAUGGGCGGAAGCCUGAUGCAGCAACGCCGCGUGCGGGAUGACGGCCUUCGGGUUGUAAACCGCUUUCGCCUGUGACGAAGCGGGAGUGACGGUAAUUGGUAAAGAAGCACCGGCUAACUACGUG
rnacentral:rRNA from 1 species